AUCCGAGAAUCAUACCAAAAUCAAGUAGAAAUUGAUGAAGAAUGGAAGCAAAAGCACCCUGUGGAUAUUAGAAGCUCUGGGGAGAAGAAGAAACGAGAUUGGGAAAGUAAAAAGCAAGAGACCGCAAAAGCCCUUAUAUCGGUUCGGGCGGAGGGACCGGUCUCUCCAAGUCUGGGACCGGUCCCAGAGCCAAAACCUAAAACUCAAAAUCUCGUCCAGAAUUUUCAGAAAUUUUAUAUAGUAUUCUCAACAUAUCCAACAUCAAAAAUACACAAUAUCCAUCCCCAAAGACUUCCAAUAAAAUUUCAUAAAUAAAUUUUGAAAAACAAUCUCAAAGAUAUUCAAUAUGGCAAUUAUUGUUGAUCCGAAAAUCAAAUAAAAUUCUUGAUAAGUAUCAAAUAAAAUUCCACACAUCAUGCA
rnacentral:lncRNA from 1 species